UACAGAGGGGGCAAGCGUUGUUCGGAAUUACUGGGCGUAAAGGGCGCGUAGGCGGCCUUCUAAGUCGAACGUGAAAUCCCUGGGCUCAACCCAGGAACUGCGUCCGAUACUGGAAGGCUUGAAUCCGGGAGAGGGAUGCGGAAUUCCUGGUGUAGCGGUGAAAUGCGCAGAUAUCGGGAGGAACACCAAUUGCGAAGGCAGCUCGCUGGGACGUUACUGACGCUGAGACGCGAAAGCUAGGGGAGCAAACGGGG
rnacentral:rRNA from 1 species